rnacentral:rRNA from 1 species
UCUUUCGGCCAAACCACGCCCAAACGCGCCCGAUCUCAUCUAAUAUCAGAAGCUAAGCUUGGUCGGGCCUGGUUAGUACUUGGAUGGGAGAGAUGAUUGGAGGUUUUGAGCAGUGGCUGAGAGUU